rnacentral:rRNA from 1 species
CGCGCAGGCGGCCUUUUAAGUUGGAUGUGAAAGCCUAUGGCUCAACCAUAGAACUGCAUCCAAAACUAUCAGGCUAGAGUGUGGGAGAGGAAGAUGGAAUUAGUUGUGUAGGGGCAAAAUCCGUAGAGAUAACUAGGAAUACCAAAAGCGAAGGCAAUCUUCUGGAACAUUACUGACGCUGAGGCGCGAAAGCGUGGGGAGCAAACA